AUUGAACGCUGGCGGCAGGCCUAACACAUGCAAGUCGAACGAGUGGUGGACGGGUGAGCAGUGUCUGGGAAACUGACUGAUGGAGGGGGAUAACUAGUGGAAACGGUAGAUAAUACCGCAUACCAUCGGAUCUGCCCAGAUGGGUUUAGCUAGUCGGUGGGGUAAAGGCUCACCUAGGCGACGAUCCCUAGCUGGUCUGAGAGGAUGACCAGCCACACUGGAACUGAGACACGGUCAAGACUCCUACGGGAGGCAGCAGUGGGGAAUAUUGCACAAUGGGCGCAAGCCUGAUGCAGCAAUGCCGCGUGUAUGAAGAAGGCCUUCGGGUUGUAAAGUACUUUCAGCGGGGAGGCGUUACCCGCAGAAGAAGCACCGGCUAACUCCGUGCCAGCAGCCGCGGUAAUAC
rnacentral:rRNA from 1 species